rnacentral:rRNA from 1 species
CAGCAGCCGCGGUAAUACGAGGGGGGCAAGCGUUGUUCGGAAUUAUUGGGCGUAAAGGGUGCGUAGGCGGUUUGGCAAGUUUGGUGUGAAAUCUUCGGGCUCAACUCGAAGUCUGCAUCGAAAACUGCCGGGCUUGAGUAUGGGAGAGGUGAGUGGAAUUUCCGGUGUAGCGGUGAAAUGCGUAGAUAUCGGAAGGAACACCUGUGGCGAAAGCGGCUCACUGGACCAUAACUGACGCUGAUGCACGAAAGCUAGGGGAGCAAACAGGAUUAGAUACCCCGGUAGUCCCUGUCUCUUAUAC